AUUGAACGCUGGCGGCAGGCCUAACACAUGCAAGUCGAACGGUAACAGGAAAAAGCUUGCUUCUUUGCUGACGAGUGGCGGACGGGUGAGUAAUGUCUGGGAAACUGCCUGAUGGAGGGGGAUAACUACUGGAAACGGUAGCUAAUACCGCAUAACGUCGCAAGACCAAAGAGGGGGACCUUCGGGCCUCUUGCCAUCGGAUGUGCCCAGAUGGGAUUAGCUAGUAGGUGGGGUAACGGCUCACCUAGGCGACGAUCCCUAGCUGGUCUGAGAGGAUGACCAGCCACACUGGAACUGAGACACGGUCCAGACUCCUACGGGAGGCAGCAGUGGGGAAUAGUGCACAAUGGGCGCAAGCCUGAUGCAGCCAUGCCGCGUGUAUGAAGAAGGCCGUCGGGUUGUAAAGUACUUUCAGCGGGGAGGAAGGGAGUAAAGUUAAUACCUUUGCUCAUUGACGUUACCCGCAGAAGAAGCACCGGCUAACUCCG
rnacentral:rRNA from 1 species